AUUGAACGCUGGCGGCAUGCCUUACACAUGCAAGUCGAACGGUAACGCGGGGCAACCUGGCGACGAGUGGCGAACGGGUGAGUAAAGCAUCGGAACGUGCCCAGUAGUGGGGGAUAGCCCGGCGAAAGCCGGAUUAAUACCGCAUACGACCUACGGGUGAAAGGGGGGGAUCGCAAGACCUCUCGCUAUUGGAGCGGCCGAUGUCAGAUUAGGUAGUUGGUGGGGUAAAGGCCUACCAAGCCGACGAUCUGUAGCUGGUCUGAGAGGACGACCAGCCACACUGGGACUGAGACACGGCCCAGACUCCUACGGGAGGCAGCAGUGGGGAAUUUUGGACAAUGGGCGCAAGCCUGAUCCAGCCAUGCCGCGUGCGGGAAGAAGGCCUCGGUGU
rnacentral:rRNA from 1 species